rnacentral:lncRNA from 1 species
UAGUCAUCUUUUAUGUUGCCGAUGACGACAUCGCUGUCAACAACUAAUGUUUACAUCCAGUGCAUAGCUCAUGUGAAUAAACUGUAGGUCAACAUAGCAGCAUCUUGGAAUGGAAAUAAUGAUAGUUGAAGGCAACGUAGCGGGCAAAUGAUCCAGAGGAAGAUCUUCAGCACGAUGGUCGCACCAGAAUAUGACAUAUACAUAUACAUAUUAUAUGAUUGUGAUAAUUUGACUUUCCGAAAAUUUGAAAUAGUAAAUAAACCUGAUCUGAUUGAGAAAA